UCUUCAUUUCACACGCUCUCUCACCGGUCAGAGAGGUUAGAGAGCGUGUGAAAUGGAGAGA
rfam:Pristionchus pacificus strain PS312 contig11573, whole genome shotgun sequence.